CAACUUUACACAGCUAAUAAAAUGAAGGAUGGAAUCUCUCCUCUUUACCACUGCUGCUGUCCUUCCAAGGUUACACUAACCAUGCAGAAAAGGACAGAGCAACCCUAUCAGAAGGUGGAAUUACUACUCCAGAUAUAAGCUGAAGAUGAUUAAAAUAUUUUGGAAUAAGGAGACAUGACAACUAACUGCAACGUGGAAUCCUGAAUUGGAUUUAGAACAGAAAAAAGGGACAUUAGUGGAAAAACUGGUAAAAUUUGAAUAAGGUCUAUAUUUUGCCUUACUAGUAUUGUACCAACACUUCCUACUGCCUGGCUUUUGAAAACUGUACCAUAUCUAUGUAAAGUAUUGACAUAAGGGGAAGUUAAGUGAAGGAGAUACAGAAAUUUUUUGUACUAUUUUUGCCACUUUCCUGUAAGUCUAAGUUUAUUUCAAAAUAAAACAUUAAAAAAAAAAGAGGGAAAGGUA